UCCAAACUCUGGAUAGCUAGUCAUCGCUGUUGACACAUGAUGUCAUUCAUUAGAAACACGUGCAUGUGUGUAUAUCUAAACCUCAUUUUUCGUAUUGUCCCACGAAGGGACACUGCCUUAUAUGUUUUCAAACCUGAUGCCACCGAUUAUGCCCUUUCGCUUGGGGAUACUUCAGUCCAUUAUCGCCUGCCCUCAACCGCCUUCCCCUUAUCGCCUAUCGUCUUUUCUGCUUCCCGCCAACGGUGCUCUCCUCAAACGCCGUCUCCCUUCCCACUGUCUCCCAUCACCGACUCCCUACCACCGCUCCUCCUCCUCCCAUCUUUCUGCCACCAUCUCAUUCUGCUUUUAAUAACAGCCUGCUCGUUCAUACCCUCUCCUGUGCCAACUUCUCACAAGGACUGUUGCCUCUGGUCAGGGACGAAGCUAAAAAUAAUGUUCAGGGGGUAAAUUAAAAAUUUUGGGACAAAAGUCAAAUAAUAAAAUAAUUGAGGGGGGCAUUGAUAUUUUCUUGGGGUAAAAGUUAAAAUUUUUACAAAUUUGUAUGAGAAAUCUUCAACAAAUGGAAAAGUCAGGGGGGACAAUUGCCCCCCUUGGAGCCUUAAUGGCUCCGCCCCUACCUUUGAUUUACUUGGUGUAUUUGGUUUUAGAGUUAAGUAGAUAUGAAUUUUGAUUUUAAUUGAGUUGUUGAAUUAUGAGAAAAAAUGUGAAAAAAUAAUGAAUAAUCGAGAGAGAAAGUAAUGAUUAUGUAGUUGAAUUUUGAAAAAAAAGUAAUAAAUAGUCGAAAGAAAGUAAUGAUUGUAUUGUUGAAUCGAAGAUAAUUGGAUUGUAUUGUUGAAUCGAAGAUAAUUGAAGUUAAGUGGAGUAUAGUUAAACUAAAGUUAAAAUACCAAAUAAGGCAUGAGGUUGCUCGCCUUGCAUCAGCACCCUGUUUUCCUGGAAACCCAUACGCCCAACCGCAUAAAUUUACAGGCUUGAAUCUAUGCAUAAAAUAUGCUACGGUGACAAACAUGAAGUUUUAACUUAACUUGGCUAGUGAUUAAUCAAACUGAUAUAAUAUGACCUCUUUAAAAAAUAUGGGUUUUUGAACAUUAUACUAAUGGUCUGCUUUCCGGGUCAAGUUUAAAAGAGAAUGGUUAUGAGCAAUAAUGGAAAUGCUCCAUAAGGACAUUUAUCAGUAAAAUAAAUUCAUAAUUAAAAAUGGCGUUUUUACUAAUGAUUGUGUAUUAUGUUACAAUUUUGCUCUGUUCAAAGUUGGAUAGAAUGGAUACGUUUUACUUUAGGAGAAAGAUCAUACCACUAAUGGAUAGCAAAUUAGCUCCAUCUGCAUGUUUAUUCUUAUCCUUAAAUUUGCUUAUUUUUCUUUAGCUUCUACAUAUUGUUUAGCAUUAGUUUACUUAUUGAUCAAUUUAGAGUGUAUUUCUUUUUAAAUUCUUCCACAUUCUGCAGUGAUGCCACUUUUAAAAGUUAGUUUAAGCUUGUUGGUUUUCUUCUCUAUUAUUUACAGUGGAAAUAAUUUUAGUGCAUCACUCAUCUUCUUCAUAGUAAUUUCCUUUUCUUUCAAGUAUAAUAAUUUAAGAUAUAAACCAUCCUUCUGGCACAUUUAUUUGCACUUUGAAGGAGAUUGUCUUGUGUGCAGGAUUGCGAGAGAUAGAUCUUAUUUAAUCGCUUUUUCUUGUAUUUACUAAGGCAAGGUAUCAUCUAUAACGAAGAAAGAUUUCAACACCAUAUCGCACCUGAAAGGUCUAUUUGCAGAGCUGGAAUUUGUUCAUAUCCUUUGUGAGGCGAACAACAUCGUGGACGCACUCGCUAAGCAAGGAACGAGCAGGAAAACUGAGUUUGUCGCAUGGAUCGGUUCUCUAGAUUGAGAUGUCAGGUUUCUCUCCUCUUCAAUCAUUUUGCCCGUUGAUGUCGUUUGUUACAGAAGUAUAUCUGAACUUUUUAUCCCUGGCUUUAUUUAUUUACAGCUGGGGGAGUUUUUUGUGAGUUGAUGUGCUUUCCUUAACAAUAGCUUUGAGUUACAGAUUGUUGGGAUGAUAUCGGAGAUAAUCUUCAUUGCAUUUUUAUACUUCUCUCCCUCUCUUGGUAAUCAUAAUUCUCAUCUCAUAAUAAAAUCAACCCAGCGUAUCAAAAAAAAAACUCUACUUGAAAAGAUACAAAGGACUUUUUUGCUAUCUAAAUUACUUCAACAUGUUUGGAAGAGACUUCCUAUAGGUGGCAAUUUGUAAUAGUAUGAAUUCAUAGAAGUGAAAUUAGAUAUUGGUUUGCUUACAAAUCUAUUCCAGGUAUUUCUUCAAUUUACAGAGAAGGUUCUCUUUAUUUCAUAAAUUAUAUGAGUACAUGUUGCAAUAGGAAUGCGUGUGAAUAGAAUUACCAUUUAAGGCAAUUUCAUUAAUGCAACCAAAUGUAGUAGAAAUCGUGUCUGUGUUGUGCUGCUAUUAUGUACAUGCACAAUGUACAACAUAGCUUAUUAAUCACGAACGCGUUUGUUCUAUUACAAUAAAUUUCUUUCCACAGCCAGUCUUGCUCAAUUAAUAGACUUGGAUUCGCCCUAUAAAUUUGUACCUUCAACAGUUUUUGUUUGCACACUUUCUUUCAUGCUCUUCAAACUGCAGUGCUGCGUAUGAGUUAAUUUGGCCCAUGUUUAUUUACCAAAUGUACUAUUGAAGUGAACUAUAGUUUUCAAGCUAAGAAAUACUGAAGUAGAAAUAAUUAUUUUAAGCCUAUUUAAAGGAAAUUGAAAAGUUGGACAACACCCGAAGAUGCAAACCACGUGGAACUUUAGUUGUGUACUCAAUGGAAGGCGAAUGCAAAAACUAUGGGAGUCUACGAACAAAUUACGGCAACAAGCAUCGAUUUCAGUAUUUUGGAGUGAGGAAAAUGAAUUUUGGUUGAAUUUCAGUUGGAAUUUGGUUGAUGAAAGAAAUCGAUAUGUAAUUACAUGCUUGAUCACAACAUUAUAACUUUGACUUGUGAUAUAUGCUACAGGAGAUAAGAUUUGCUUGUUGGUUAAAUAUUUUAUGUAAUAAUUGCAAAUUCUCCCAAAUCCUUUUGUAACUAAGUAUCUUUCUAAAACCAACUAAAAGCGGAGAGACUAGGUGAUUUUGUUUCUUUCUUUUCUAUAUUUCAUACUUGCACAGAUAUAUUAGUGAUGUCCAUCUGCCAAAUUUAAGUAAUUGAGCAAAGCCAAUUUCGAUUAUUUUCUAUAUGACUAUAGGAACGCUUUUCUUUUGUAAUAAUCGUAGGAUUAUGCUUUAUAAUUGAACGCCAAUGAACUCUUUUCUUUGGAGUCUGCAAGAGUACACCAAGCCAUUGAAAGGGCAAUCUCGAUCUGCCUCAUUGGUCUACAUUGAUCAACUCAUUGGCCUGCAUUGAUCAGGUCGUAUCAUCCUUAUAUGAGAAAGGGAUAAUAAAGCCAAUUUCAAUUAUUUUCUAUAUGAUUAUAGGAACCCUUUUCUUUUAUGAUAAUUGUAGGAUUCUGCUUUACAGUUGAACGCCAAUGAACUCUUUUCUUUGGAGUCUGCAAGAGCACACCAAGCCAUUCUUUGGAGUCUGCGAGAGCACACCAAGCCAUUGAAAGGGCAAUCUCGAUCUGCCUCAUUGAUCUACAUUGAUCAACUCAAUGGCCUGCAUUGAUCAGGUCGUAUCAUCCUUAUAUGAGAAAGGGAUGAUAAAGCCAAUUUCGAUUAUUUUCUAUAUGAUUAUAGGAACCCUUUUCUUUUAUGAUAAUUGUAGGAUUCUGCUUUACAGUUGAACGCCAAUGAACCCUUUUCUUUGGAGUCUGCAAGAGUACCUUUUUUGCACUAAGUCAUUGAAAGGGUAAUCUCGAAUUGCCUCUUUGGUCUA